GAAAUGCGAUAACUAGUGUGAAUUGCAGAAUCCCGUGAAUCAUCGAGUCUUUGAACGCACAUUGCGCCCCCUGGUAUUCCGGGGGGCAUGCCUGUCCGAGCGUCAUUGCUGCCCAUCAAGCACGGCUUGUGUGUUGGGUCGUCGUCCCCUCUCCGGGGGGGACGGGCCCCAAAGGCAGCGGCGGCACCGCGUCCGAUCCUCGAGCGUAUGGGGCUUUGUCACCCGCUCUGUAGGCCCGGCCGGCGCUUGCCGAACGCAAAUCAAUCUUUUUCCAGGUUGACCUCGGAUCAGGUAGGGAUACCCGCUGAACUUAAGC
rnacentral:misc_RNA from 1 species